CGCUCGGGUUGGAAAUUAGAAAUAAGAAAACCAUAUUUAGGAUUUGAGCUAAAUUAAUUAGUUUAGCAAAUUUAUUUAGUAAAAAUAAAAUAAUUUGGCUUAUUAAGAUAAAUAAAUUAAAAAAUUUAGUGAGAUUAGAUUAUUAUUCGGUUCUUCGGUUCUUGGUCUAGAAUUGAACCAAACUAGUCGGUUCUCGAUUUAGAUACCUAUUCGGGUAUUUGAUUUAAGAAGAACCGCUUGGUUUGGUUUAAUUCGGAUCGGAUUCGGUUCGGUGUGAGUUCAUCUAAAAAGGACCUGCUUGCGAGUCAUUUUCUUUGCAUGUAUAUCUGUCUUCUUAUGAGACAUUGCGUGGUAGGACAUGGUUGUGGAUGUGGAGCCUAAUAUUUGCACAAUUUUCCCUUGGCCGUGGUGGGUAUUAGUGCGAUCCUCCGGGGAAAUAUAUAUCCGCUCUUUUUAUAUAUGUCUGUGUACGGGGAAAUAUGCAUGUAAACUCACCUUUCUUUGGAAUACAAUGACAGCAGUGUCUUCUGUUCAAUGGAUCCCAAUAACAACAAAUAUUAGAAACACAGAGUGACUAUUGAAACAGCAACUGCUUUCCGGAUGGUGUCCUUUAUUAAAUGAUUUAGUUGCACUAUUCUUUGUGAACAAUGCUCUUCAGUGCAUGAAAAUUAUCCUGGCAUAUCUUUCAACUACAUACAGAACAAAUCAUUGUUCCAGAAUUGUUCAGGAAUCAGUUCAAUUAUUCUGUGUACUUGUGCCUUGUUCACGAAAGAGAUUGGUUUACAGUUCUUUUGCUUGAGAUAUUCUUUUCUCAAGGGAGUAAUUUAACUCUGAAUCAGACAUGCCCAACACUUGCAUGCUAGCAAGAUGCUCUAGAUCAUGAGGCAUAGUUGUUCCUUUAUCAGAGAUAUCAAUUUGUUUCUGGAGGUCAUUCCUCUAUUCUUACUAAAGUCGGGGCUCGGGGAGAUUCUCUCUCUCGUUCAUGGCAUUCGAACAGAAUUGUAUUUUGGAAAUCGUCAACAUUGAUCACUCUCCAACAUUUUUUCACUUGCUAUUUCUUCGUGUCAUUUAUUAUUAUUGACCAAUCAACUAAUCUGUAGAUUGAACUUCAAUCCCACAAUUUGUUGAUGAAGAUCAUUGUUUUCGUUUCUGUAAAUUCACCUGUAAUCAGAAAUGUUUUAUAUCAAAC
rnacentral:lncRNA from 1 species